rnacentral:rRNA from 1 species
GGGGCCCGCACAAGCGGUGGAGCAUGUGGUUUAAUUCGAUGCAACGCGAAGAACCUUACCAGGUCUUGACAUCCCACGAAUUCAUCUGAAAGGAUGGAGUGCCUUCGGGAGCGUGGAGACAGGUGGUGCAUGGUUGUCGUCAGCUCGUGUCGUGAGAUGUUGGGUUAAGUCCCGCAACGAGCGCAACCCCUAUCUCUAGUUGCCAGCGAUUCGGUCGGGGACUCUAGAGAUACUGCCCCGGUUAACGGGAGGAAGGUGGGGAUGACGUCAAGUCCUCAUGGCCCUUAUGCCCAGGGCUACACACGUGCUACAAUGGGCGGUACAAAGGGUAGCGAUGCCGCGAGGUGAAGCCAAUCCCAAAAAGCCGUCCACAGUUCGGAUUGGAGUCUGCAACUCGACUCCAUGAAGCCGGAAUCGCUAGUAAUCGUGGAUCAGCAUGCCACGGUGAAUACGUUCCCGGGCCUU